rnacentral:lncRNA from 1 species
UAGGUAAGCAAUCAGGAAGGGGUUCCAGGCAGUUGGCUCCAGAUUGGAAGAUUGAUACCAAGUGCUGGCUGAUUGCUCUCUUUCUCCUUGUCGGAAAACAAAGACAAGGAGAAGGACAUGGAGAAAGCAUGAUAUGAGAUACUCUUGCUUUCAACCUUUAUGAUAUGAAAUACUUUUGCUUUGAAUGGGUUGUUCGCAAGAGUAUCCCAAGGAAUGAGGAACACUGAGUGACUCGAGAGGAUUCUUUGGGAAUGCAUUUUCGGAGAUGAAGAAGUGUUGAGAGGGUGUGCUGAGAGAGUGUGCUUUUGUUGUGGAAGGCGAAGGUAGAAACUUAUAGGACUUGUCUUCACAACCGGAACUGUUCUCUCA